UACGGAGGGGACUAGCGUUGUUCGGAAUUACUGGGCGUAAAGCGCACGUAGGCGGAUUUGUAAGUCAGGGGUGAAAUCCCGGGGCUCAACCUCGGAACUGCCUUUGAUACUGCAAAUCUCGAGUCCGGAAGAGGUGAGUGGAAUUCCUAGUGUAGAGGUGAAAUUCGUAGAUAUUAGGAAGAACACCAGUGGCGAAGGCGGCUCUCUGGGACGGUACUGACGCUGAGACGCGAAAGCGUGGGGAGCGAACAGG
rnacentral:rRNA from 1 species